CCUACGGGGGGCAGCAGUGGGGAAUAUUGCACAAUGGGCGAAAGCCUGAUGCAGCGACGCCGCGUGAGGGAUGACGGCCUUCGGGUUGUAAACCUCUUUCAGCACGGAAGAAGCGAAAGUGACGGUACGUGCAGAAGAAGCGCCGGCUAACUACGUGCCAGCAGCCGCGGUAAUUCGUAGGGCGCAAGCGUUGUCCGGAAUACUUGGGCGUAAAGCGCUCGUAGGCGGUUUGUCGCGUCUGCUGUGAAAGCCCGGGGCUGAACCCCGGGUGUGCAGUGGGUACGGGCAGACUUGAGUGCAGUAGGGGAGACUGGAAUUCCUGGUGUAGCGGUGAAAUGCGCAGAUAUCAGGAGGAACACCGAUGGCGAAGGCAGGUCUCUGGGCUGUUACUGACGCUGAGGAGCGAAAGCAUGGGGAGCGAACAGGAUUAGAUACCCGAGUAGUC
rnacentral:rRNA from 1 species